rnacentral:lncRNA from 1 species
UUAUGUUGAAUUCAUAGGUUAGCCAUUAUACACAGUACUGCAAUGAACAUGGGAGUGUAAACAUCUCUUUGACACACUGAUUUCAAAUCUUUCAGGAGCUGAAAUGUUGAGUACAUAAGGACACAGAGAAGGGAAUCAUAGCCACUAGGUCCUAUUUGAUGGUGGAAGAUGAGAGGAGUGUGAGGAUUGAAAAGCUACCUUUCAGGCUCUGCAAGAAGCAUGGCCCCAGCAUCUGCUUCUGGUGAGGCCUCAGGAAGCAUUCAGUUGUGGAGGAAGACAAAGGAGGAGCAGUUGCGCUAUACAGCAAAAGAGGAGGAGGCAGGAAAAGGAGGAGGAGGUAGCCGGCUCUUUGUAACCAGCAGACCUCCCAUAACUAAUGGAGUGAUAACUCACUCAUUACUGCCAGAAAGGCAAGAAGGCAUUCAUGAGGGAUCUGUACCUACAACGCAAAGUCCUCCCACUCCUUCUAUUGUGGGCUACCUAAAAAUGGAACAUAUUAACUUCCAAGAUAUUUGGGUGCACAGAUAUUAAAAAUAAAAUAAGCUGCCACACA